AUUGAACGCUGGCGGCAGGCCUAACACAUGCAAGUCGAGCGGGCGGAGGACGGGUGAGUAAUGUAUGGGGAUCUGCCUGAUGGAGGGGGAUAACUACUGGAAACGGUAGCUAAUAGCGCAUACCAUCAGAUGAACCCAGAUGGUAUUAGCUUGUAGGUGAGGUAACGGCUCACCUAGGCGACGAUCCCUAGCUGGUCUGAGAGGAUGAUCAGCCACACUGGGACUGAGACACGGCCCAGACUCCUACGGGAGGCAGCAGUGGGGAAUCUUGCACAAUGGGCGAAAGUCUGAUGGAGCAAUGCCGCGUGAAUGAAGAAGGUCUUCGGGUUGUAAAGUACUGUUAGUAGGGAGGCGUUACCUACCGAAGAAGCCCCGGCUAACUACGUGCCAGCCGCCGCGGUAAUAC
rnacentral:rRNA from 1 species